UACGUAGGGGGCUAGCGUUGUCCAGAAUCAUUGGGCGUAAAGCGCGCGUAGGCGGCCCGGUAAGUCCGUUGUGAAAGUCAAAGGCUCAACCUUUGAAAGCCGAUGGAUACUGCCGGGCUGGAGUCCGGAAGAGGCGAGUGGAAUUCCUGGUGUAGCGGUGGAAUGCGCAGAUAUCAGGAGGAACACCAAUAGCGAAGGCAGCUCGCUGGGACGGUACUGACGCUGAGGCGCGAAAGCGUGGGGAGCGAACAGG
rnacentral:rRNA from 1 species